GAUGAACGCUGGCGGCGUGCCUAAUACAUGCAAGUCGAGCGAACAGACGAGGAUCCUGCUCCUCUGACGUUAGCGGCGGACGGGUGAGUAACACGUGGAUAACCUACCUAUAAGACUGGGAUAACUUCUGGAAACCGGAGCUAAUACCGGAUAAUAUAUUGAACCGCAUGGUUCAAUAGUGAAAGACGGUUUUGCUGUCACUUAUAGAUGGAUCCGCGCCGCAUUAGCUAGUUGGUAAGGUAACGGCUUACCAAGGCAACGAUGCGUAGCCGACCUGAGAGGGUGAUCGGACACACUGGAACUGAGACAAGGUCCAGACUCCUACGGGAGGCAGCAGUAGGGAAUCUUCCGCAAUGGGCGAAAGCCUGACGGAGCAACGCCGCGUGAGUGAUGAAGGUAUUCGGAUCGUAAAACUCUGUUAUUAGGGAAGAACAAAUGUGUAAGUAACUAUGCACGUCUUGACGGUACCUAAUCAGAAAGCCACGGCUAACUACGUG
rnacentral:rRNA from 1 species